rnacentral:lncRNA from 1 species
CUCUAAAAUCCGGGAGGAAAUGGUCAACCAGUGGAAGACCGCUGAGGGGUAAAACUCCUAUUGGAUUUAGCAGCGGGAAGUCAGUUUUGAGCCUGAUGGGAAGCCGUCGCUUUUGCAAGAGUGAGGAGCAGGAGCCACACUGGAUGGGUUGAGGAAUAAACAGAAGCAAGCACGCCCAACUUUUUCCGUGUUCUCAGCGGAGAGCACACUGAUUUACCAGCCAUGCGGGUGGGUCUCUUGGAAGCUGAUCCCGCAGUCGCCAGUUGAGGUGCCCCAGCUGAUGCUGAAAGGAGCAGAGAUGAGACUUGCCCCAAACUGCAGAUUGCGGAUGCAAAAGACAAAUGGCAGAGGGAAAUUCAAGAGUUGGCAAUGCUGGAGCCAUGGAUUCUAAGUCGGAUACAGAAGAACGGGGAGGUAGAAGGUAGUUCCAGAAGGGAAGUAAAUAGACG